GCCAGACUCCUACGGGAGGCAGCAGUGGGGAAUAUUGCACAAUGGGGGGAACCCUGAUGCAGCGACGCCGCGUAGGUGAAGGAGCGCCUCGGUGCGUAAAGCCCUAUCGGCAGGGAAGAAACAGACGGUACCUGACUAAGAAGCCCCGGCUAACUACGUGCCAGCAGCCGCGGUAAUACGUAGGGGGCAAGCGUUAUCCGGAUUUACUGGGUGUAAAGGGGGCGCAGACGGCGAUGCAAGCCAGGAGUGAAAGCCCGGGGCCCAACCCCGGGACUGCUCUUGGAACUGCGUGGCUGGAGUGCAGGAGGGGCAGGCGGAAUUCCUGGUGUAGCGGUGAAAUGCGUAGAUAUCAGGAGGAACACCGGUGGCGAAGGCGGCCUGCUGGACUGUAACUGACGUUGAGGCUCGAAAGCGUGGGGAGCAAACAGGAUUAGAUACCCUGGUAU
rnacentral:rRNA from 1 species